rnacentral:rRNA from 1 species
UUGAUUAGAUCUCAAAUCAGGUAGGACUACCCGCUGAACUUAAGCAUAUCAAUAAGCGGAGGAAAAGAAACUAACAAGGAUUCCCCUAGUAGCGGCGAGCGAAGCGGGAAGAGCUCAAAUUUAUAAUCUGGCACCUUCGGUGUCCGAGUUGUAAUCUCUAGAAGUGUUUUCCGCGUUGGACCGCACACAAGUCUGUUGGAAUACAGCGGCAUAGUGGUGAAACCCCCGUAUAUGGUGCGGACGCCCAGCGCUUUGUGAUACACUUUCAAUGAGUCGAGUUGUUUGGGAAUGCAGCUCAAAUUGGGUGGUAAAUUCCAUCUAAAGCUAAAUAUUGGCGAGAGACCGAUAGCGAACAAGUACCGUGAGGGAAAGAUGAAAAGCACUUUGGAAAGAGAGUUAACAGUACGUGAAAUUGUUGGAAGGGAAACGCUUGAAGUCAGACUUGCUUGCCGGAGCUUGCUUCGGUUUGCAGGCCAGCAUCAGUUUUCCGGGGUGGAUAAUGACGGUUUGAAGGUAGCAGUCUCGGCUGUGUUAUAGCUUUCCGUUGGAUACGCCCUGGGGGACUGAGGAACGCAGCGUGCUUUUUGCGAAAGACUCGUCUUUUUCACGCUUAGGAUGCUGGUGGAAUGGCUUUAAACGACCCGUCUUGAAACACGGACCAAGGAGUCUAACAUGCUCGCGAGUAUUUGGGUGUCAAACCCGGAUGCGCAAUGAAAGUGAAUGUAGGU